GAAGACAUAAUGCAACUUCAUUUUUCAACAUUUUCUAUAAUUUGGUAAUGUUGAUCAGACUAAAGCAGAAAUGAAUUAACAUUGCAUGAUUAACUCCAUAGACCACUUCAGCACAUCAUCUAGCAAUAGCCCCAUGUUGGAAACUGAACUAAUAAAUUGGUAAGUCUGAUAAAACAGAGAAUUGGUGAGUGCCUGACCAUUGAACCAUGUUCAUGACUAUCACAUAUUCAUCUAGAAAUAGCUCAGAAGAUAGUUAUGCAUCCAGAAAUAACAAUAAUAGCUUUGCCCUAUAUGGCAUUCAAAUAAGACCAAACUUGCACAAGCCAGAAAAAUAUUUGGGGUAGCCAUGACCUGCACUAAUGGGAUGGACAGUGGUUCCAGGAAGAGUGGUGGGGUGGGAAGAAUUAGUGAUUGGAAAAUUAUUAACUAGCAAUUGGAGGGUUGUCAUGACAACCUACAUCGUAGACUUCGGGAAGAAAGAGAGCCAGGAUAACACACAUGCCAUCAGAUUCUUGAGAUAUUUCUGAAUCAAACUUUAAGCAUCCUCUAUUCUCAUGGAAAUCUCAGCUGAUAGCCAAAAUAAAUGCAGCCACAUGGACCCCUCUACAUUAGACACAGGGCACUCCUAAGACUUGAAGCUAGAAAUAGAAACCAAGCUCUGUUGAUCCCAACUAUCCUUCAAAAGGUUGAAAGGUUAUGUUUUGUUUAGAGCAUUUUUCCUAUAAAGUAUGAGUACAACUUCAACAGUGUGACAUAAGGAUAUGCCAAGUACACCU
rnacentral:misc_RNA from 1 species